rnacentral:rRNA from 1 species
ACGGCUCAGUAACACGUGGACAACUUACCCUUGGGACCGGGAUAACCCCUGGGAAACUGGGGCUAAUACCGGAUAGAGCAUCGGUUGCUGGAAUGCACGAUGGUCUAAAGCUGAGGCGCCCAAGGAUAGGUCUGCGGCCGAUUAGGUUGUUGUUGAUGUGACGGAUCAACAAGCCUACGAUCGGUACGGGUUGUGAGAGCAAUAGCCCGGAGAUGGGUUCUGAGGAAAGAACCCAGGUCCUACGGGACGCAUCAGGCGCGAAAACUUUACAAUGUGCGAAAGCACGAUAAGGGAACUCUGAGUGCCUCCUAAGGAGGCUGUUCAGGUGUCUAAAAAGCAUCUGGAGUAAGGGCUGGGUAAGACCGGUGCCAGCCGCCGCGGUAACACCGGCAGCUCAAGUGGUAGCCACGUUUAUUGGGUCUAAAGCGUCCGUAGCCGGCUGGGUAAGUUCCUUGGGAAAUUUGACCGCUCAACGGUUAAGCUAUCGGGGAAUACUGCUUGGCUUGGGACCGGGAGAGGUCAGAGGUACUCCAAGGGUAGGGGUGAAAUCCAUUAAUCCUUGGGGGACCACCAGUAGCGAAGGCGUCUGACCAGACCGGGUUCGACGGUGAUGGACGAAGGCUAAGGUCACGAACCGGAUUAGAUACCCGGGUAGUCCAGGGUGUAAACGAUGUGGGUUUGGUGUCGGAAGUCUUACGCGGGCAUCCGGUGCCGUAUAGAAAUUGUUAAGCCCACCGC